rnacentral:lncRNA from 1 species
CAUCAUAUGACACAGUUGCAGCAGCCAUAAAGGAUCCACUCGUCUUGGCCAAAUUGCAGUUCUACGCAGCAAUUGCCAGGACCUUCAAUCCCUUCCUGAAAAAAUAUCAGACGGAUGAGCCUGUGCUCCCAUUCCUCCCCAAAGGACCUGACCGAGUUGAUGAUAUCUACCCAGACGCUUCAUAAAGAGAGAAGUACUACACGAUAUCACUGCCCUGCAGCUGACCAAACUGGAUGUCACAGACAAGACCAUCUGGCUCAGCCCACAAGACAUCAGCAUUGGUCUAGGUGCAGAGUCAGUCCUUAAGAGAAUCAAAGGUGCAGAGCUCAGGGUGCUCGAGUUCAAGAGAGAGUGCAUGCAGGGACUGAGUAACAUGAUCAAGAAAGUGCAGGACAAGAGCCCCCUCAAGUAUCUGACUGUUAGGCAGAUGGUGUGCCUGAAUCCGUCAGUAAUGUAUAGAGAACCAGAAAGAGGCAGGAAUCACAUGAAAGGGCUGGUUCAAAGGUUUCUCCAGGACAAACAGCUUACUGAUACUUCUUCGGGGGAUGUCAUACUGCAGCAGUUUGACAGUCUCCUUUCCUUGGAGAGCCGGAGUGAGGACUUCCUCUCCUUUCAAACCAUGCAGACGAGGCUGGACAUCUUCCUGAGCAGCGCCAUGGAGCCUUAUCCCGAGCUGUGGGCCUUCUGCAAGAAGCUGCUCAUCCUCAUCCACGGUCAAGCUACAGUUGAGCGUGGAUUCUCAAUCAAUAAAGAGGUGGAGUCUGAUAACUUGGCGGAGGAUACAGUGGUCACACGGAGACUGGUGUGUGACUACAUCAUACAACAUGGAGGUGUUACCAAGGUUCCACUCAGUAAACCGCUACUGGAAAGUGUAGCAAGGGCAAGGACAAGGUAUCGUACCCAUCUGGAGACCAAAAGAAGGAACAGGGAGGCAAAAGACCAGGCUCUCAAGAGGAGGGAAGCAGAGGACUGUCUUGAGGAGCUGAAGGUUAAGAGGAGACGUGUACAGGAGGUAUCUGAGGGUCUGGCUAGGGAUGCAGACAAGAUGGCUGAGGAGGCUGAAGCGAAGGCAGGGAGCAAGAUGGCUGGCCUGAUCACCAGGUCAAACAUUCUGCGGAGAGGCCAUAAGGAGAAGUUGGCAGAACUGGCUCUCCUUGAUAAAGAGAUCGCUGCUAAGAGUGCAGAGCUUAGGAGUUGACUGUGUGAUCAUAAUUUUAUUUAUUGUUGAGUUGAUUUUCAUUGUUUAUUGCUCAGGAGUCUGUGCUGUUGGCGUAAGUACUCACCACUAUGCUGCAAUGUUCCAUCAUUCCAUAAUGCUUUACAGUCCACAUUUUCACAUUUGUUGAAAUAAAUGAACACAUUUUGAACAAACGCUGUCGGUAGGUCUGUGAAAUAGGCCGU